rnacentral:lncRNA from 1 species
CAUCUAUGAAUGACUUGAAAUGAAGAAGCAUUGAUCAAUCAAGUAAAUAACUCAAGUCAAAAUCAUCAAGUGUAUCAAAAGUCAAACAAAAAUUAAUUUAAAAAUGAUAAAAAUGGAAAUUAAAGAGAAAAUCCAAAAUAAUGAUCAAAAUAAUUCAAAAAUGGUUGCAAAACCUACACAAAGUCCUAAGUAUUAUGCAUGAAUAGAUCUCAAAGGUUGAAUGCAAAAAUGUUUUGAAAUGAUUAAAAAAUAAAUUGGAAAAGGAAAUUAAAA